AGAAUCAACGCUGGCGGCGUGCCUCAGACAUGCAAGUCGAACGCGAAAGUUUCCUUCGGGAGAUGAGUAGAGUGGCGCACGGGUGAGUAACACGUAGGUAAUCUACCUUUGGAUGGGGAAUAACAACCGGAAACGGUUGCUAAUACCGCAUAAUGCAGCGGCACCUAAUGGUGACAGUUGUUAAAGCGGGGGAUCGAAAGACCUCGCGUCUGAAGAGGAGCCUGCGGCGGAUUAGCCAGUUGGUAAGGUAAUGGCUUACCAAGGCUACGAUCC
rnacentral:rRNA from 1 species